rnacentral:rRNA from 1 species
GAAUUCGAUUAGAGUUUGAUCAUGGCUCAGAACGUACGCUGGCGGCACGCCUAACACAUGCAAGUCGAACGAAGUAGCAAUACUUAGUGGCAGACGGGUGAGUAACAUGUAGGUAUCUGCCCUUUGGCCUGGAAUAACACGAGGAAACUUGUGCUAAUACCGGAUAAGUCUUUACGGAGAAAGCUUUAUGCACCAUUGGAUGAGCCUGCACUUGAUUAGUUUGUUGGUGGGGUAAUGGCCUACCAAGACUGUGAUCAAUAGCUGAUUUGAGAGGAUGAUCAGCCACAUUGGGACUGAGACACGGCCCAAACUCCUACGGGAGGCAGCAGUGGGGAAUCUUGCACAAUGGAGGAAACUCUGAUGCAGCGAUGCCGCGUGAGUGAAGAAGGCCCUUGGGUUGUAAAGCUCUUUCGUCGGGGAAGAAAAUGACUGUACCCGAAUAAGAAGGUCCGGCUAACUUCGUGCCAGCAGCCGCGGUAAUACGAAGGGACCUAGCGUAGUUCGGAAUUACUGGGCUUAAAGAGUUCGUAGGUGGUUAAAAAAGUUGGUGGUGGAAUCCCAGAGCUUAACUCUGGAACUGCCAUCAAAACUUUUUAGCUAGAGUAUGAUAGAGGAAAGCAGAAUUUCUAGUGUAGAGGUGAAAUUCGUAGAUAUUAGAAAGAAUACCAAUUGCGAAGGCAGCUUUCUGGAUCAUUACUGACACUGAGGAACGAAAGCAUGGGUAGCGAAGAGGAUUAGAUACCCUCGUAGUCCAUGCCGUAAACGAUGUGUGUUAGACGUUGGAAAUUUAUUUUCAGUGUCGCAGCGAAAGCGAUAAACACACCGCCUGGGGAGUACGACCGCAAGGUUAAAGCUCAAAUGAAUUGACGGGGACCCGCACAAGUAGUGGAGCAUGUGGUUUAAUUCGAAGAUACGCGCAGAACCUUACCAACACUUGACAUGUUCGUCGCGACUUUAAGAGAUUAAAGUUUUCGGUUCGGCCGGACGAAACACAGGUGCUGCAUGGCUGUCGUCAGCUCGUGUCGUGAGAUGUUGGGUUAAGUCCCGCAACGAGCGCAACCCUCACUUUUAGUUGCCAUCAUUUAGUUGGGCACUCUGAAAGAACUGCCAGUGAUAAGCUGGAGGAAGGUGGGGAUGACGUCAAGUCCUCAUGGCCCUUACGUGUUGGGCUACACACGUGCUACAAUGGUAUCUACAACAGGAGGCAAGACUGCGAAGUUAAGCAAAUCCCUAAAAGAUACCUCAGUUCGGAUUGCACUCUGCAACUCGAGUGCAUGAAGCUGGAAUUACUAGUAAUCGUGGAUCAGCGUGCCACGGUGAAUGCGUUCCCGGGUCUUGUAGA